UAUUUCCUUCAGUGUUGGUUUUCACCUUAUGAAACCAACCCUUCACCUUCCCUACGUACAUAACGUCUAAUUAAAGCGUCCACCCAACUUAACCCUAUCUAAACUGUAAACUUAUAAACCCACACAAAAAGCCUAACCCUUCGUCUUCCCUUCACAUAUAACGUUUAAUUAAUGCAUCCACCCACCCUAACCCUAAUAUAAUAGUAAACUAUACAAACUCACACAAAAGCCCCCUUCUCUCCUAUGCAUGUCAUGAAAAUAAAAACCUACUAUUUUUCUAUAAUAAAUUAUGGCCUCCUUCAUUUGGCAAAAGGUGUGGCAUCCAUU
rnacentral:lncRNA from 1 species